rnacentral:rRNA from 1 species
GACGAACGCUGGCGGCGUGCUUAACACAUGCAAGUCGAACGAAGAGCGAUGGAAGCUUGCUUCUAUCAAUCUUAGUGGCGAACGGGUGAGUAACGCGUAAUCAACCUGCCCUUCAGAGGGGGACAACAGUUGGAAACGACUGCUAAUACCGCAUACGAUCUAACCUCGGCAUCGAGGAUAGAUGAAAGGUGGCCUCUAUUUAUAAGCUAUCACUGAAGGAGGGGAUUGCGUCUGAUUAGCUAGUUGGAGGGGUAACGGCCCACCAAGGCGAUGAUCAGUAGCCGGUCUGAGAGGAUGAACGGCCACAUUGGGACUGAGACACGGCCCAGACUCCUACGGGAGGCAGCAGUGGGGAAUCUUCCGCAAUGGACGAAAGUCUGACGGAGCAACGCCGCGUGAGUGAUGACGGCCUUCGGGUUGUAAAGCUCUGUUAAUCGGGACGAAAGGCCUUCUUGCGAAUAGUUAGAAGGAUUGACGGUACCGGAAUA